GAUCAUGGCUCAGGAUGAACGCUAGCGGCAGGCUUAAUACAUGCAAGUCAAGGGGGUAGCAAUACAACCGGCGCACGGGUGAGUAACGCGUACACAACAUACCAUAUACUGGAGUAUAGCUUUGGGAAACUGAAGGUAAUCCUCCAUAACAUUGCGAGAGGGCAUCUGAUUGCAAUUAAAGUUCCGGCGGUAUAUGAUUGGUGUGCGUUUGAUUAGCUAGUUGGUAGGGUAACGGCCUACCAAGGCGACGAUCAAUAGCUGGCGUGAGAGCGCGACCAGCCACACUGGAACUGAGACACGGUCCAGACUCCUACGGGAGGCAGCAGUAGGGAAUAUUGGACAAUGGGCGAAAGCCUGAUCCAGCCAUGCCGCGUGAUAGAUGAAGGCCCUCUGGGUUGUAAAUAUCUUUUAUCUGGGAAGAAACUCCUCUAUUCUUAGAGGCCUGACGGUACCAGAGGAAUAAGCACCGGCUAACUCCGUG
rnacentral:rRNA from 1 species